rnacentral:rRNA from 1 species
GUGUCAGCCGCCGCGGUAAUACGUAGGUGGCGAGCGUUGUCCGGAUUUACUGGGUGUAAAGGGUGCGUAGGCGGCAGGACAAGUCAGCUGUGAAAACUAUGGGCUUAACCCAUAGCCUGCAGUUGAAACUGUUCUGCUUGAGUGAAGUAGAGGUAGGUGGAAUUCCCGGUGUAGCGGUGAAAUGCGUAGAGAUCGGGAGGAACACCAGUGGCGAAGGCGGCCUACUGGGCUUUAACUGACGCUGAGGCACGAAAGCAUGGGUAGCAAACAGGAUUAGAUACCCUGGUAGUCCAUGCCGUAAACGAUGAUUACUAGGUGUGGGGGGUCUGACCCCCUCCGUGCCGGAGUUAACACAAUAAGUAAUCCACCUGGGGAGUACGACCGCAAGGUUGAA